AGUGAACGCUGGCGGUAGGCCUAACACAUGCAAGUCGAACGGCAGCACAGUAAGAGCUUGCUCUUACGGGUGGCGAGUGGCGGACGGGUGAUGAAUACAUCGGAAUCUACUUUUUCGUGGGGGAUAACGUAGGGAAACUUACGCUAAUACCGCAUACGACCUACGGGUGAAAGCAGGGGAUCUUCGGACCUUGCGCGUUUGAAUGAGCCGAUGUCGGAUUAGCUAGUUGGCGGGGUAAAGGCCCCCCAAGGCGACGAUCCGUAGCUGGUCUGAGAGGAUGAUCAGCCACACUGGAACUGAGACACGGUCCAGACUCCUACGGGAGGCAGCAGUGGGGAAUAUUGGACAAUGGGCGCAAGCCUGAUCCAGCCAUACCGCGUGGGUGAAGAAGGCCUUCGGGUUGUAAAGCCCUUUUGUUGGGAAAGAAAAGCAGCAGGUUAAUACCCCGCUGUUCUGACGGUACCCAAAGAAUAAGCACCGGCUAACUUCGUG
rnacentral:rRNA from 1 species